rnacentral:rRNA from 1 species
UACGGGGGGGGCAAGCGUUGUUCGGAAUUACUGGGCGUAAAGGGCUCGUAGGCGGCCAACUAAGUCGGAUGUGAAAUCCCCAGGCUCAACCUGGGAACUGCACCCGAUACUGGAUGGCUUGAAUUCGGGAGAGGGAUGCAGAAUUCCAGGUGUAGCGGUGAAAUGCGUAGAUAUCUGGAGGAAUACCGGUGGCGAAGGCGGCAUCCUGGACCGACAUUGACGCUGAUGAGCGAAAGCUAGGGGAGCAAACGGG